rnacentral:rRNA from 1 species
UUCCGGUUGAUCCUGCCGGACCCGACUGCUAUCAGAGUGAGAUUAAGCCAUGCGAGUUAACGUAGCAAUACGUGGCGCACGGCUCAGUAACACGUAGUCAACAUGCCCAGAGGACGUGGAUAACCUCGGGAAACUGAGUCUAAACCGCGAUAAGUGAGGAUUUCUGGAAUGGUUCCUGACUAAAAUCUAUAUGGCCUCUGGAUUGGACUGCGGCCGAUCAGGCUGUUGGUGAGGUAAUGGCCCACCAAACCUGUAACCGGUACGGGCUCUGAGAGGAGGAGCCCGGAGAUGGGCACUGAGACAAGGGCCCAGGCCCUAUGGGGCGCAGCAGGCGCGAAACCUCUGCAAUAGGCGAAAGCUUGACAGGGUUACUCUGAGUGACUUUCGCUAAGAAAGUCUUUUGGCACCUCUAAAAAGGGUGCAGAAUAAGGGGUGGGCAAGUCUGGUGUCAGCCGCCGCGGUAAUACCAGCACCCCGAGUGGUCGGGACGAUUAUUGGGCCUAAAGCAUCCGUAGCCGGUUCUGCAAGUCUUCCGUUAAAUCCAGCCGCUCAACGGAUGGGCCGCGGAGGAUACUACAGGACUAGGAGGCGGGAGAGGCAAGCGGUACUCAGUGGGUAGGGGUAAAAUCCUUUGAUCCAUUGAAGACCACCAGUGGCGAAGGCGGCUUGCCAGAACGCGCUCGACGGUGAGGGAUGAAAGCUGGGGGAGCAAACCGGAUUAGAUACCCGGGUAGUCCCAG